UCGUAACAAGGUCUCCGUUGGUGAACCAGCGGAGGGAUCAUUACCGAGUUUACAACUCCCAAACCCCAAUGUGAACGUUACCAAUCUGUUGCCUCGGCGGGAUUCUCUUGCCCCGGGCGCGUCGCAGCCCCGGAUCCCAUGGCGCCCGCCGGAGGACCAACUCCAAACUCUUUUUUUCUCUCCGUCGCGGCUCCCGUCGCGGCUCUGUUUUAUUUUUGCUCUGAGCCUUUCUCGGCGACCCUAGCGGGCGUCUCGAAAAUGAAUCAAAACUUUCAACAACGGAUCUCUUGGUUCUGGCAUCGAUGAAGAACGCAGCGAAAUGCGAUAAGUAAUGUGAAUUGCAGAAUUCAGUGAAUCAUCGAAUCUUUGAACGCACAUUGCGCCCGCCAGUAUUCUGGCGGGCAUGCCUGUCCGAGCGUCAUUUCAACCCUCGAACCCCUCCGGGGGGUCGGCGUUGGGGAUCGGCCCCUCACCGGGCCGCCCCCGAAAUACAGUGGCGGUCUCGCCGCAGCCUCUCCUGCGCAGUAGUUUGCACACUCGCACCGGGAGCGCGGCGCGGCCACAGCCGUAAAACACCCCAAACUUCUGAAAUGUUGACCUCGGAUCAGGUAGGAAUACCCGCUGAACUUAAGCAUAUCA
rnacentral:misc_RNA from 1 species